rnacentral:rRNA from 1 species
CCUGCCGGACCCUACUGCUAUCGGGGUGGGACUAAGACAUGCAAGUUGAGCGUCUCUAGGCUAUGGUAGAGACGCGGCAUACGGCUCAGUAGCACGUGGCCAACCUACCCUUAGGACGGGGACAACCCCGGGAAACUGGGACUAAUAACCGAUAGAUUAGGAGGCCUGGAAUGGUUCUUAGUCAAAAGGGCGUUGAAACCAUGCUUUUCAACGUCGCCUAAGGAUGGGGCCGCGCCCGAUCAGGCUGUUGGUGGGGUAAUGGCUCACCAAACCUAUAACCGGUGCGGGCCGUGAGAGCGGGAGCCCGGAGAUGGGCACUGAGAUAAGGGCCCAGGCCCUACGGGGCGCAGCAGUCGCGAAAACUCCGCAAUGCGCGAAAGCGUGACGGGGCUACCCCGAGUGCCGUCCGCUGAGGAUGGCUUUUCCCCGGUGUAAUGAGCCGGGGGAAUAAGGAGAGGGCAAGUCUGGUGUCAGCCGCCGCGGUAAUACCAGCUCUCCGAGUGGUAGGGACGAUUAUUGGGCUUAAAGCGUCCGUAGCCGGCUUAGCAAGUCUCCUGUUAAAUUCAGCGACCUAAUCGUUGAGCCGCGGGAGAUACUACUAGGCUAGGAGGCGGGAGAGGCCGACGGUAUUCUCGGGGUAGGGGUGAAAUCCUAUAAUCCCGGGAGGACCACCAGUGGCGAAGGCUGUCGGCUAGAACGCGCUCGACGGUGAGGGACGAAAGCUGGGGGAGCGAACCGGAUUAGAUACCCGGGUAGUCCCAGCUGUAAACGAUGCGGGCUAGGUGUUGGGGUGGCUACGAGCCACUUCAGUGCCGCAGGGAAGCCAUUAAGCCCGCCGCCUGGGGAGUACGGCCGCAAGGCUGAAACUUAAAGGAAUUGGCGGGGGAGCACCACAA